rnacentral:rRNA from 1 species
AGUGAACGCUGGCGGUAGGCCUAACACAUGCAAGUCGAACGGCAGCACAGAGGAGCUUGCUCCUUGGGUGGCGAGUGGCGGACGGGUGAGGAAUACAUCGGAAUCUACUCUGUCGUGGGGGAUAACGGAGGGAAACUUACGCUAAUACCGCAUACGACCUACGGGUGAAAGCAGGGGACCUUCGGGCAUUGCGUGAUUGAAUGAGCCGAUGUCGGAUUAGCUAUUUGGCGGGGUAAAGGCCCAGCAAGGCGACGAUCCGUAGUUGGUUUGAGGGGAUGAUCGGCCACACUGGGACUGAGACACGGUCCAGACUCCUACGGGAGGCAGCAGUGGGGAAUAUUGGACAAUGGGCGCAAGCCUGAUCCAGCAUACCGCGUGGGUGAAGAAGGCCUUCGGGUUGUAAAGCCCUUUUGUUGGGAAAGAAAUCCAGCUGGCUAAUACCCGGUUGGGAUGACGGUACCCAAAGAAUAAGCACCGGCUAACUUCGUGCCAGCAGCCGCCGCGG